UACAUGGGGUGCAAACGUUGCUCGGAAUUAUUGGGCGUAAAGCGCACGUAGGUGGUCUGUUAUGUCAGAUGUGAAAGCCCUCGGCUUAACUGAGGAAGUGCACCUGAAACUGGCAGGCUUGAGUACGAAAGAGGGUCGCGGAAUUCCCGGUGUAGAGGUGAAAUGCGUAGAUAUCGGGAGGAACACCUGUGGCGAAAGCGGCUCACUGGACCACAACUGACGCUGAGGCGCGAAAGCUAGGGGGGAGCAAACAGG
rnacentral:rRNA from 1 species